GAUGAACGCUGGCGGCGUGCCUAAUACAUGCAAGUCGAGCGAACAGACGAGGAGCUUGCUCCUCUGACGUUAGCGGCGGACGGGUGAGUAACACGUGGAUAACCUACCUAUAAGACUGGGAUAACUUCGGGAAACCGGAGCUAAUACCGGAUAAUAUAUUGAACCGCAUGGUUCAAUAGUGAAAGACGGUUUUGCUGUCACUUAUAGAUGGAUCCGCGCCGCAUUAGCUAGUUGGUAAGGUAACGGCUUACCAAGGCAACGAUGCGUAGCCGACCUGAGAGGGGGAUCGGCCAAACGGGAACUGAGACACGGUCCAGAUUCCUACGGGAGGCAGCAGUAGGGAAUCUGCCGCAAUGGGCGAAAGCCUGACGGAGCAACGCGGCGGGAGGGAUGAGGGUCUUCGGAUCGUAAAACGCUGUUAUUAGGGAAGAACAAAUGUGUAGUAACUAUGCACGUCUUGACGGUACCUAAUCAGAAAGCCACGGCUAACUACGUG
rnacentral:rRNA from 1 species